GAAUGUGAGGCUGACCUAGCUGAAACCCCUGAUCACUAGGGUUGAUCUGGUUGAUCUGGCUGGCUAGACAGGUGCCCCCCCCCCCCCCCCCCGCUCACACUCUCCGUUUGUGUGCUCUCUGAAGCUGUGCACUUGGCAGAAGAGGACUACCUCCCCAGAUUGAGAACGUUCUUCAGUCAAGGUACAUGAGUAUUGUAGGUUGGAGGUUCCCAAGUUAGAACCUCCCAACAAACUCUCAAAAUGGGCUUAAACUAACAUUGGUUUCCAAAAAGAAAACAAAGCAAAAUACAAGAAAUGCCUUU
rnacentral:snRNA from 1 species